rnacentral:misc_RNA from 1 species
GGCACAUCUUGAUGAUUAUGAUGCUAUUCAUGUUCGACGUGGUGAUAAAAUAAAAACUAGGAAGGAUAGGUUUGGUGUUGUGCGGAGUCUACAUCCUCAUCUGGACAGGGAUACUCGCCCAGAGUUCAUACUUCAUAGGAUUGAAAAGUGGGUCCCACCUGGACGAACUCUUUUUAUUGCUUCAAAUGAGAAGACAGCAGGAUUUUUUUCACCUCUCUCUGCCAGAUAUAAAUUGGCAUAUUCAUCUAAUUAUAGCAGUAUCUUGGAUCCCUUGAUUGGGAACAAUUACCAAUUAUUCAUGGUUGAGAGGUAUAUAAUGAUGGGUGCCANNNNNUAAAACUUUCAAGGAAGAUGAUAUGGAUCUCAGCCUUACCGAUGACCCUAAGAAGAACACAAAGAAAUG